rnacentral:rRNA from 1 species
AUGUGGAAUGCAGUGGUGGAUGUGCUAGCAAUUAUGGUGGACGAUGCCAGAGAACACUCUUCUCAAGGUGGAGCUUCGGGUUUGAUUGUACAAAUGGAAUGCUUUCAAUUUGUGUUCAUCAUGCUAUUCUUGAUAAACUUGUUGAACAUCACAAAUAUGCUAUCACAAACUUUGCAAAGGAAGAAUCAAGAUGUUGUUGAAGCCCUUCGUUUGAUCUUGAAUGUGAAAGAAGCUUUGCAAAAUAUGAGGGACAAUGGGUAUGAGUCAUUAUGUGACCAAGCAAAUAACUUCUGUGAGGAACAUGGCAUUGAGGUGCCAAAUAUGGAUGAUCUUGUUGGAGCUAUGGGGCAAUCUGUUCGUUCCAAGAAUAAGGUGACUCGACAUCAUUAUUUCAAGGUUAGCAUAUUCAAUGUUGCUAUUGAUGCAACUCUCACUGAGAUGAAUCAUCGAUUCAAUGAAGCUAACACCGAGUUAGUGGAUUGCAUGUCUUGUCUUAAUCCGGUAAACAACUUCUCAAAGUUUAACAUUGACAAGCUUAUUCGGCUUGCUGAAAUUUAUACUAAGGAUUUUACGCAAGCUGAAUGGUUGUUGCUAAGAUAUGAGCUUCCAACAUUCCUUACAAAUAUUAGGAGAAGUGAGGAAUUUAAUGCAUGUCCGGAUGUUUCUACCCUUGCUCGGUUGAUGGUUCAAACAACAAAAUAUAGAACUUUCCAAUUGGUAUAUCGCCUCAUCGAGUUGACAUUGAUUCUUCCAGUGGCAACUUCAUCGGUCAAGAGGAUAUUUUCAGCAAUGAAGAUCAUCAAAACUGAUUUGCGCAAUAAGAUAUCAGAUGAUUGGCUUAAUGAUUUAAUGGUUUGCUUUGUGAGAAAAGGAUAUUCAGAAGUAUUCCCGAUGAUCAAAUUAUGA